AUUGAACGCUGGCGGCAGGCCUAACACAUGCAAGUCGAGCGGAGCGGCGGACGGGUGAGUAAUGCCUAGGAAUCUGCCUGGCAGUGGGGGAUAACGUACUACAACGGGCGCUAAUAACGCAGACUAUCAGAUGAGCCUAGCGCGGAUUGGCUAGUUGGUGGGGUAAAGGACGACCAAGGCGACGAUCCGUAACUGGUCUGGGAGGAUGAGCCGUCACACUGGAACUGAGACACGGUCCAGACUCCUACGGGAGGCAGCAGUGGGGAAUAUUGGACAAUGGGCGAAAGCCUGAUCCAGCCAUGCCGCGUGUGUGAAGAAGGUCUUCGGAUUGUAAAGCACUUUAAGUUGGGAGGCGUUACCAACAGAAUAAGCACCGGCUAACUUCGUGCCAGCCGCCGCGGUAAUUC
rnacentral:rRNA from 1 species